CCUACGGGUGGCAGCAGUGGGGAAUAUUGCACAAUGGGGGAAACCCUGAUGCAGCGACGCCGCGUGAGCGAUGAAGUAUUUCGGUAUGUAAAGCUCUAUCAGCAGGGAAGAACAUUACGUUACCUAACUAAGACUCCCCGGCCAACUACGUGCCAGCAGCCGCGGUCAUACGUAGGGGGCAAGCGUUAUCCGGAUUUACUGGGUGUAACGGGAGCGUGGACGGUACGGCAAGCCAGAUGUGAAAGCCCGGGGCUCAACCCCGGGACUGCAUUUGGAACUGUAAGGCUAGAGUGUGGGAGAGGAAGGCGGAAUUCCUAGUGUAGCAGUGAAAUGCGUAGAUAUUAGGAGGAACAUCAGUGGCGAAGGCGGCCUGCUGGAAGAUGACUGACGUUGAGGCUCGAAAGCGUGGGGAGCAAACAGGAUUAGAUACCCUUGUAGUC
rnacentral:rRNA from 1 species